rnacentral:rRNA from 1 species
GUCCUAGCCGUAAACGGUGCAUAUUUGCUGUAAAAGGAAUCGACCCCUUUGUGGCGUAGCCAACGCGAUAAAUAUGCCGCCUGGGAAGUACGGUCGCAAGAUUAAACUCAAAGAAUUGACGGGGCCUGCACAAGCGGUGGAGUAUGUGGCUUAAUUCGAUGCAACGCGAAGAACCUUACCUGGCCUUGACAUGCAAGUAGUAGAAGGAUGAAAGUCCGACGAGGUAGCAAUACCAGCUUGCACAGGUGCUGCAUGGCUGUCGU